rnacentral:lncRNA from 1 species
AUGGAGGUCUGCGCCCGGCGCUGGCUUCCACGGCCGUGGUCUCCGCUACCUUCCUCGUCCCGUUGCUCCCUUCUUCCUCCGCCUUCCCACGUCUUCCUUGUCUCUUCCCCUCUUCCCUUCGCCUUCAUUUAUUUCUUUGUUUCUCUCUCUCAUUCCCUGCCCCCACCCCCACACAUACCAUUUGUUGAACGCACAGCGUCAGUCCUACAAAACUUGCUAAGAUCUGGUCCUUGUCUUAAGAAGCUCUCAAAUAAAGGAGCCUGCAUCAUCAAAGUGAGGCCAAGAAUUUCAGCCUUGAAAAAGCCUGAAUCUCUCAAAAGAAGUUUUCCAUUCAGGAAGCCAAAUCCCCAAGCCCCAAAGACACUGACUCCUAAAGUCAUCCAUCUUGUCUGCGGCUCAUCCAAGCCCGGAGCCUACCCACCUCCUGGCUCAGUGCCAGAAACUAGGGCGCUGCGGGGAGUCCGGACGCUUCCUUUGCGCGAGGCUGAGAAGAGGGAGGCUCCUGUUCGCUGCCCCUUGUUAAUGGCCGUCCCUUGGACUGUGGUUCCUGAUGAGACUCUGCUACCCUUAGGCUUAUUCUGUAAGCCUGUCAAAGUGUAUGGUUUUGGUGUUUGAGCUUUCUGAUGGCUAUUUCGUGAAGUAUGGCCUGAAUGCUUUCUAUGCACCAGCUAUAGACCUUCUGGUGCCCAGGACUGCUGUUUAGCGGGAAGAGAUUGUAAUUCCAUCCUCUGCCAUUCGUCAUCAGUCAUCGAUGACUUCAUCCUGAGACUCAGUUGAUUCUCUCUCCAAAACACAA